GAUGACCACACACUUCUGCUCUGUUUUAAUAUUCUUUUAAUUUAAAUUUAUUUUUACACAAAUUUUGGCACUUCACAAAUUAAAAUAAAACUUAAUCAAAACAACAAUGAAAAAAAAUGACACUUCUUCUUUUGCGUGUUGUUCUUGUCAUCCAUUGCGAAAUGAUAACAAAAACAUUCCUGCCAAUGUUUAAAAUAGAAAAAACAUAGUUGCUAAAAUUGUAGUAUUUGACACGAUGGAGACGUGUCUUCUAUAUCCUGUAAAUUAAUUUCUUUUUGGUUAUACCUAUACUUGUUGACACACUUAUAUAUAAGAGAAAAAUUUUAAGGAAAUCUGUAAAACUCUACGUAGGUAAAACCAAAGGGAAUCUAAGGACAUUCACAGUAUUAAACUUUUACCUAAAUUAUAUGAAAUUGAUAUUAAAAUAUCAACGAAUACUAUAACAAAUUGAUUUAAAUCCUUGGAAUGUGACAGCAAUUUCUGAUAAAAAAAAUAAAGAAACCUAAAAAGAAAUUAAAUAUUUUUAUUUUGCACCAAGAUAUUUACGCAAUAUAUAUACGUAUAAGCCGGUAGAAAAUUCCUCGGGAUAUUUAAGUAGUACGCUGUGGUGAUUAAUGAGAAACAACAAUAAAACUCAGGCAACACUGUGUAUAGAAGAAAUUAAAAACAACUCCAUCUACCAACAAUCGCCCACCUUACUAAAUAUCCCGAGUGAGUAUUAACUAAGUUCUAAAAUCUCUAUAGUAGCAAAUACACCAACCGUAAAGGCUUAUGCAUAAAAACAAAAUACAUUCCACGAUAAAAUACAGUGGGUAUUAUAUAAACUACCUGAUAAACUAACCCUGAGAGUUUAAAUUAACAAUCUUUGAUGAGAAAUAAAUAGACAAAACUAAUCAAUUUAGAAUAUGUUUAAGAAUUAAUAAAAUAUAUAAAUAUUUCAUUAAUACAAAACUAAAACAAAAUAUGCAUGUAUAGCACCCUAAUAUAUACAGGUCUAUAGAUUUAUACAUGCCUAGGUAUAAAUAUAUAUGUGAAGCAAAUAUACAUUGAAAGAUAUGUAGGGAUAAAUAUAUGCUUAUAUAUGUACUUAUACCUACUUAACCAUUAAUAUAUAAAUCAAGCUUUAAUUAAUAGUUAGGUAAAACGAUA